rnacentral:piRNA from 1 species
AAGGAAGAGAGGAUGGUGAUGCACCGGU